GGGAAGAGGAAGGCAGCCGCUAAGCCGCCCACUAGGAAGCGGAUGGACAAGCUCGAUAUGGUCUUUUCCUGCCCAUUCUGCAAUGAUAGGAGCAGCGUUGAAUGCCGGAUGUGAUAUGGAAACCUGAUUGGUGAGGCUAAUUGUGAAAUCUGACAGGAAAGCUUCAGCAGCCAGCACCACUGCAAAUGGUAUGUCCAAAUCAUACAUAAAACUGCAGAUUGUACCUCCUAUAACAUAGACGUAGAUGCCAUAGAUGCCAUACUGAUUGGCUCUCAACUAGAAAAUUAUGCACCGGGCAUCUCAUUUGGUUUUGUUCCUUCUCAACCUAAUGAUUGCAACUCCGGGACAGGGUAUAGCUUAUGUAUACAUUUUGUACAGCCAUGCCCAUUUCAUAUACUCUUGGGGGUUUAA
rnacentral:rRNA from 1 species